GUCUUAAACCUAGUCAAAAAAAGGUCAUAAUUUAGAACUUUUUAUGCAUAGAUGAUUUUUUUCCCAGAAAUACCACUCAAAAAAUUAUAAAAUUAGUCAUUAUCUCUCCCAAAUAACAAAAUAUCCAUUCUACAGCACUGACUCAAUAUUAAAUUCUAGAAACCACAUAUAUUUGCCAUUUUAGGACCUGUGCUUUAUUGGUAGUUUGUAUGAAUUUGUCAUAUUUUAUCCAGGUGAAAAUACUACAUUAUAUAUACUGUGCAUAUUUUGUUCUUUUACAUGCAACACUGCCUUUGGUAGAGGAAACAAAUCCUUCUCUACACCUUUCUGCCAUCAUUUUUCCUGGAGCCAUCAAUGUUGAUGUGCUGGCUGAACACUCACAUCUCUGUUAAUAUUCCUGUUUCCUUGCUUCAUCCUACUAGAUGAUUAAAGUAGAUUUCUUCAGGAAUAUUGUAUUCAUACAGAUGGUGUCUGGUAGAGCAAAGCAUUUGGAGGGCAGGAUGAAACAUGUUUCUUGUCAAGGGAGUGAUUAAGGAGCAAGCUACAAAAAAUAAAAGAGAAAGUCACUGUUACAUAUGCCCAUGGCAUUUUAUAUGCUUUUAAAUCAGUUUUAGCCCAUGAUAUAUUCAACAUCAGGGUUAUAUAACAGAUAUGUUGGAAGACUGUCUGACAGCUGGUAUGACUACAAUCUAUCUUACUUGAACUUACAACCCUUUUCUAUUUUCAGGGUUGACUAUACACCCUAAAAACAGGUCACCUGUAUCAAGAAAAGGGUCUACUUACUGCAUCACCCUCAUCUCUUCAGUCCCUUCCUGGGUUUCUGUGCAGGUCCAUGUGCCCCUAGACUCAUCCAUCAGAAGGCCAUUGAUGACAAAGAUCAAAAGGGAGGUGUGUGUGAAGUGCUUCAGUGCUUCACCAGUGAGAAGACUGGUGGGACCCAUGUUCUCCAAAGAGAAGAGCCAGGCAGUGUGGGAAAGAAGUAGCUACAGAUUUCUUUAACAAAAAAAGCUAAGGAGACAAAUAUUUCCAGAUUUGGCAGUUGAAAAGAAGGGAUAAUAAAUUUGCCAGUUAGGAGGAUCCACCCAAUGAAGUUGCUGCAUUUUGGACAACUGACAGAUUCUCUGCAUGGAGAGAUUCUCACCCAGGAAGUCAACUGUGUCUUGGCCUUCAUCAAAAGAAAUGCGGCCAGCAGGGAAAGGGAAGUGAUUCUCCCCUUCUACUCUGCUCUCCUGAAGUGAUGCAUACAGCUCUGGAGUCCCCAGAAUAAGGAUAUGGAGCUGCUGGAGCAGGUGUAAAAGGCCACAGAGAGGAUCAGAGGGCCGGAGUGCCUCUUCUAUGAAGACAGGCUGGGAGAUCCAGGCUUGUUCAGCCUGGAAAAAACUCCAGGGAGACCAUAUUACAUCAUUCCAGUACCUAAAGGAAGCCUACAAGAGAGCUGGAAAGGGACUCUUUAUCAGGGCAUGUAGUGAUAAGAGAAGGGUGACAGACUUCAAGCUGAAAGGCAUUAUGUUUAAAUUAGACACUGCAAAGAAAUUCUUUACUAUAAGGGUGGUGAGGCACUGUAACAGGUUGCCCAGAGCAGUGGUGGAUACCCCAUCCCUGGAAGGGUUCAGAGCCAGGCUGGAUGAUGAGACUUUGAACAGCCUGGUCUAGUGGAAGGUGUUACUGCUCAUGCAGGGAGCUUGAAACUAGAUGAUCUUUAAUAUCCCUUCCAAACCAAAAUUUUCUGUGAUUCUAUGACUGUGAUUCAUGUACAAUCUUUAAUUCUGAGGAUGUAGCACUGAUCAUUACCUUUUCUGCAGCUUACAUCAUGACGGUUCUCUGCUGGUGUAAUACUUUCCAGUUUCAUGAGCUGAUGAGCUGUAAAGCAGGUGCAAUAUUUUCCAUCAUCCAGCUAUUCACUGACACAACAGGUGUGUACAGACAGUCCCAUGUCUGUCCUUCUAGAAAGGAGACCAACUACCCUUCAAAGAUGAUAUUCAAAGACUGUCCUGUGGGGUAGUACUUGAAAGAAUUACAUAAAAUGAUAUUUUAAGACUUUCUGUGAAGGAAGUUAGAGUAGCAUUCCAGUUUACCUGCAUGUUUCCCAAAAGAUAUAUUUCUCCUUACCUGUGACUUUUCUGUGAAUUUCUUCAAGCACCACCUUCCAGUGAAACAAAACCCUCUGCCUCUUAAGAAUUCUCUGUUCCUUAAGGCAUGAAUAUGCUCAAAUAUAUACCUGGAUAUAAAGCCACAAAAAUAGGGAUAAACUGUUUUGCAUUAAUCCCAGGUGGAAUGUUGGUUGUCAUGAGAACAGAGUUUUUUCAAAGGUAAACCUUGAAUCCACAAGACAAAUUAUUUAAUAUACUUAACCAGUCAAUUUCACACCAGAACUAUGUCAUUACUUUGUAAUAAACCUAAUGUGAUCAUUCUUUCAUCCCUUUUUAAGGUGCACGUAAAAUUCUCAGUCUGAGCUGGUGAGUUGCUUAGUUAUGUUUUGCAAUAAUAAUAAAUGAGGCUUCUUUUUUUGUGUUUGUCUCCUAAAAGGUUCCCUACCACUACACACUUUCCUUUAUUUUCAGAAAAUGAAGCAAGUGUUUGCCUUACACUAGCUGAGGAAACAAUCCUAAGCCCAACACUUUUCGACAUAUAGGCUAAACCUGCCUUUAUAUUACUAAGAAACAAAAGAUUCCAAUAGCAUAAAGUGCAGAUGGUAAAAAAUUGGAGAAAAUUUCUGUGUUUGAGGAAGGCAGCAAAUGCUGUUUUCUUGCCUUGUCUCCUCAUUGUUCACAAUCUCCAAGUUUGUUGUCUGUUGUCUUUCACAGAGCAUGAGCUUGGCAGAGCCUAAAUGCCACACAUCACUAUUUUUGCCAGCAAGAAAACUCUUACAUCUCUGGGUGGAUCUCUAGAAAAAUUGCCUUUUAUUAUAUUUUGAUUCAGCUGGCUCUGUGAUGGAGUUCUGCUGCAAUUGUUUGAACAGUUUUCAAUGAAGAUGGCAUAAGGAAUAAAUGUUCACUGAAUCCCUUGGGAAUGGAAAGAAUGCAUCUGCCUGUUAAAUGUCUCGGAGUUUAAUUCAAAAGAGUCAAAUGAUCUACCCAAGAGUAUGCGCCUUAUUCUCAGAAUUUAAAAUAUGUUGUCCCUUAGGUUACGUGAGUAACUUAAGAGUUAUUUAUGUAUUUACUUUUGCUUGUUUCUCACUCUUGACUCUCCACCAUCCAAAUGAACACCUGAAGUAGGUGCAAAAUGAUCUAUUAGCUCAUUUGCUCUUCCUGGAAAGUGGCUUAGACAGCCUAUACAUAGAUUAGCCUUCCAACACCAUUGGGAUUCAGUUUGAAAUGGCUGAACUCAGCUGCAUAGGGCUAAGGGAGCCUGUUGGAUUAUUGCAGGUGACUUCAGCCUUCACAUGGCCAUUUGAUUAGCUCAAGCAGCACCAAUACUUUCCUAUUUGAUUUGUGGCUUGGCACUUUAAUGGAACAAUGAGGCAAAUCCUUAACCAGCACAGCCCCUUUGAUUUUAGUACAAUAGUUGUAACAUUAAAAGAUUUCCAAAACUUUCUCUACCUUGAAACUGCCUGUGUAGCUCUAAAUUGCAUUUUCUCAGUCUAACAGUAUUCCAGUCCAAUGGAUUUGAAAAAAGUAAGGACUAUUCUAGUGCUAAGCAUGGAACUAAUUUUUCAAGAUGUUGUUUUGUUUUUUGGUUUUGUUUUGUUUUUUGCUU